rnacentral:rRNA from 1 species
GACGAAGGUGGCAAGCGUUAUUCGGAUUUACUGGGCAUAAAGCGCGCGUAGGCGGCUUGGCAAGUCGGGGGUGAAAGCCCGCAGCUCAACUGCGGAACUGCCUUCGAUACUGCCGAGCUUGAGGGCGGGAGGGGUGAUUGGAACUCCAGGUGUAGCGGUGAAAUGCGUAGAUAUCUGGAGGAACACCGGAGGCGAAGGCGAAUCACUGGACCGCUUCUGACGCUGAGGCGCGAAAGCUAGGGGAGCAAACAGG